CAAAGCCAGCGGCUGAUAUCAGUCGUGUUUCUGUAUCUGUUUGCUCAGGAGAUGAGAGACCGUGAGAAUCUGCCCGCCACAACGGCAGGUACCUCAGACACCUGAGGCGAAGGCCUUGACAUUUCACCCAGUAGUCCUCCUCUUGUCGUCUCUCAAGACACAGGCAACAAAAGGACAUUCCAAGCACUUGCUUAGGAUGUUCAGUAUCAGUUCUCCUCUUGGGUUCAGAGCAAUUCCAGCAGCAGCGCUCCAUAUCUGACAAAGUCAUUCAUUUUAUAUACCACGGAUGGAAGAUCACACUCUCUCAAUGCCUUUUAAAAACCCCUAGAGCCGAUUGAUGCACCCGUCCAUCACAAGGUGACAUCAUUUUGAAUAUUGAAUAGCUCCCUGUGUUUAUUCUAAUGACUUACCCUUUCUUGUAGUGUUUGGAGCGCAAUCCCCUUUUUCCCCAUAUAAAGUUUGUGCCUAUUCCAUAACAUGGGGCUCGUGAAAGUGAACUUUUCCUGCAUGAGAGCAUCUGGACAAGAAAAUUGUCAAGAAAUCAUCUGUAAAACCCGAACCGUGUGAGCUAUCGAAAGGGGAGACUCUCACAAACAUGACAGUGUCGGUUGUUUGGCUCUACGACAUCGACAAGCUUACAGCCGUCAUCUGAACUCUCUGUUGCGAAUGUACUCAUUUCGAAGAGGUCUUCUCACCAAACCAACUGUCCAGACUGAACCAUGUGAGUUACAAACCGAUAUCGAAAUGGGAAACUCUCACGAACACGAAGUUGUUGGUUGUUCUGUUUACAAUGCACACAAGACUCAGGGUUGUCAUCUGAAGGUGACUCAGUACCAAGCUGUAAAAAUUGCAAAAAGUGCAUAAAGGGUCAAAUGUUCCAAAAAAUAGUGUGACCAAACAUGAAAGUUUACAUACACUUAGGUUGGAGUCAUUAAAACUUGUUUUGUAACCACUCCACACAUUUCUUGUUAACAAACUAUAGCUUUGGCAAGUCGGUUAGGACAUCUACUUUUUCCAACAAUUGUUUACAGACAGAUUAUUUCACUUAUAAUUCCCUGUAUCACAAUUCCAGUGGGUCAGAAGGUUUACAUACACUAAGUUGAUUGUGCCUUUAAACAGCUUGGAAAAAUAAAGAAAAUGAUGUCAUGGCUUUAGAGGCUUCUGAUAGGCUAACUGACAUAAUUUGAGUAAAUUGGAAGUGUACCUGUGGAUGUAUUUCAAGGCCUACCUUCAAACUCAGUGCCUCUUUGCUUGACAUCAUGGGAAAAUCAAAAGAUAUCAGCCAAGACCUAAAAAAAAGUUGUAGACCUUCACGAGUCUGGUUCAUCCUUGGGAGCAAUUUCCAACACCUGAAGGUACCACGUUCAUCUGUACAAACAAUAGUAUGCAAGUAUAAACACCAUGGGACCACACAGCCGUCAUACCGCUCAGGAAGGAGACGCGUCUCCUAGAGAUUAAUGUACUUUGGUGCGAAAAGUUCAAAUCAAUUCCAGAACAACAGCAAAGGACCUUGUGAAGAUGCUGGAGGAAACAGGUACAAAAGUAUCUCUAUCCACAGUAAAACGAGUCCUAUAUCGACAUAACCUGAAAGGCCGCUCAGCAAAGAAGAAGCCAAUGCUCCAAAACCGUCAUAAAUAGCCAGACUACAGAUUGUACUUUUUGGAGAAAUGUCCUCUGGUCUGAUGAAACAAAAAUAGAACUGUUUGGCCAUAAUUACGAUUGUUAUGUUUGGAGGAAAAAGGGGGAGGCUUGCAAGCCGAAGAACACCAUCCCAACCAUGAAGCACGGGGGUGGCAGCAUAUUGUUGUGGGGGUUCUUUGCUGCAGGAGGCACUGGUGCACAUCCCAAACUAGAUGGCAUCAUGAGGAAGGACAAUUAUGUGGAUAUAUUGAAGCAACAUCUCAAAAGAUUAGUCAGGAAGGUAAAGCUUGGGUCUUCCAAAUGGUCAAUGACCCCAAGCAUACUUCCAAAGUUGUGGCAAAAUGGCUUAAGGACAACAAAGUCAAGGUACUGGAGUGGCCAUCACAAAGCCCUGACCUCAAACCUAUAGACAAUUUGUGGGCAGAACUGAAAAAGCAUGUGUGAGAAAGGAGGCCUGCAAACCUGACUCAGUUACACCAGCUCUGUCAGGAGGAAUGGGCCAAAAUUCACGCAAGUUAUUGUGGGAAGCUUGUGGAAGGCUAACCGAAACGUUUGACCCAAGUUAAACAAUUUAAAGGCAAUGCUACCAAAUACUAAUUGACUGUAUGUAAACUUCUGACCCAUUGGGAAUGUGAGGAAAGAAAUAAAAGCUGAAAUAAAUAAUUCUCUCUACUAUUAUUCUGACAUUUCACAUUCUUAAAAUAAAGUGGUGAUCCUAACUGACCUAAGACAGGGAAUUUUUACUAAGAUUAAAUGUCAGGAAUUGUGAAAAACUGAGUUUAAAUGUAUUUAGCGAAGGUGUACGUAAACUUCCAACUUCAACUGUAUAUCUUAUAUCUCUCAGAUAUAGGACAGACACUUCAAAACCUUCUUCCUUAUGAUUUAUUUUUUGACUUUCUGUUUUGCCAUUUAUGAAUGUUUUAUUCUACACUUUUCUAUGGGCUAUAGAAGUAAAGCCCAAAUUCAAUGUUUUAUCAAAUAAUUUUUUUAUACCUACAGGUGUCCUAAAAUUUUAAAUCAAAUAGCUAAAUGAUACAUUUUCUGACCAUUUUAAAACAAUUCCCUACAGGGGGGAGCAUAUCUGUUCUGCUCAUUCAAUAUCUACAUAUAGUUACAGUACAUGUACUGUGAAUCUACUGUAAUGUAUGUCAUCAGUGUUGUGUUGUGAUGAGUCAUGGAUGUUAAUUUAUGCCUGAAUUCAAUCCCAAACCUCGUAAUUUAAAGGUAAUUUCAAAUUGAGCCGACAUCUGCAGCAUUUACCUUGAAUGUGAUCUCUGCAUACGUGGUAACAUUUCCUUUAAAAGCUGCAUUGUCUACAAGAGCGAUCGGACUGAAUCUGGUAAAAGAUCAGCAGAAAAAAACAUUGUUUGAAAACUCAGGAUAUCGAUUCAACUCAUAAUUAUAAACCCAGUGCACACAUUGAACGGCCAAUGUUUCCUCUUCUAAGGUGUAAUAAACAAACCGCUGGUGAGAGAACAUAAAUAUAGCUAGGGAUAAUUAAACACAGAGUAGACUAAUAACCCAUCAGGAGAAAUUAUUCAUCUGUAGUCCAAGCUCCUGGAGGUGUUCCCAAAGGACCAGACGGACUGAGCCUACUGGAUCAGUAUACUGGGAGGGAAUAAAGAAAAACACUGAUUCGUUUUAUAAAUUGAUAGCCUUUUACAUAACAAUGUAGUGAGAGAGCAAGACAGACAGACAGACAGACAGGCAGGCAGGCAGGCAGGCAGGCAGACAGACAGACAGACAGACAGACAGACAGACAGACAGACAGACAGACAGACAGACAGACAGACAGACAGACAGACAGACAGACAGACAGAAAUAAUAUAAAAUAAUAUAUACCAUUUAGAAUAAGCUUUUAUCCAAAGCAACUUACAGUCAGACAGACAGAAUAGGCGAACAGACAGAGGCCAGACAGACGAACAGAGAGAGACUAGACAGACAGACAGAGACCAGACAGAUAGACAAACAGAGUCCACUCUGGAGACCACCCAGUGUGCUGACACUCAACUCUGCUCCAUUUCAUGGUCGCAUGAUCCGAUUACCCAGCAGUCUCUCUUGAGCGGCCAUAUUUCUCAUCUGUCUCAGCUAAAACAACAUAUCGGUCCCGUUCAAAAAUGACCACUAGCCCCUUACCCCCAGCCCAGGCAAUAUAAAACCAAUUCUACCUGGCCUAUCUAAUUCUUUCUGAUCCUUAUCAAGUGCCUAUCCAUCCACUGCUGCCCCCUAGGGCACAUAAGGAGAGGAUAGGAUAUCAAAGGCUUUUGAGUUUAUUACAGCACACUCCCUCACCCAGACACAUCAGACACAUUGAGUUUAAUGAUAUCGUACCCCCGAUGAGUCUACCAUGACCUACCAGCUACCUCUGGAACAGCUGCUGUGGCUCAACACAUUGUCAAAUCAGUUGGCUAGGAGUACAUAGAAGACUGUCUUUUCAUGACCUCUGUGGCAAUCUGUAGGCAAUUACAGCCAAAAUCAUUACUUCAUAUUCACUUCAUGUAGCGGCUGAGAUGCAACCAGGCAGAUACUGCAGAUAGUGUAGCCAAAGAGAUUUGACAGAACAGUCACUGUAGUAAAGGAGGAGUACAGUCAGAACAUGUACUUUACACUAUCCAAACCAGCACUCCAGCAGCUAUUUAUAGUUUAAGAAGCUAAGCCCAUUGGAGGGUCACAUGGCAAUGAAUUUGCAUGUCACUUGUCUAUUAGGCCAUCUAUAGUGUGAUAAAUAACAAACAACAAAAGGUCCUCGUGGUCAGGUAGGUGGAACAGACAGCCUUGGACAAGUCCUCAGUUCAAAAGGAACAGAAGAGGGUUGAGUCCCAGCGAGCUCAUCUGACAUAUGCAGGAAUGCAGGAGGUCAGGGAGGCAGCCCACUCAGUAUGGAAUGACUGCGGUGUACGGUAUCCAUUUUAGGACACCCUCAGCCUCAAGUCUCACCCCUUCUUGAGUCAAUUGUGUUGAGGCUGAGGGUAACCUAAAAUGUACACCGUAGCACGGACUGUGGUCUUCUCUGUGUUGGAUGUAACAUCCAGACUUCAAACAACAGUCUCAUAUUUUAUAUUAUACAAAUAAAUGAUGUCAUACUGACAUCAGAUGAAAUCAAGACCAAUCUUUGCUCGUCCAAAUGUUUUGAAUGGGUUGAAUCUGAUUAAUAUUAUUAUAGGGCAUCAACGAAAGCGGCACUAAGUGUCCUUUUUGUACAUAAUGUGGAUGUUAUACGUUGCCAUGGCGACCCAUUUGGGCAUCACGUAGCACAGCUGCACAUGUUAUCGGUGUGAAGUGCCCUAGUCUCUGUUUCCACAGAAACGCAAUCGUGUUUUGCAUGGUGGUGACGGUGAUGACGGUGGAAGGUGGGGGGAGGGGAGGGGAUGUUCUCAAAGAUACUGGAUAUUUCUGCUUUGUCAAUUACUCACUAAAAAUGGUUUUGAAGAAAAGUGCUUGCUCGUUCUGUGUUUCAUCCAUAGAAACAUGUCAGAAAAACUGUGGUGAUGGAGUCUGUGUUUGUAUGACAUUCAAUGUGGAGAUGACAUCGUCAAAGGUCAUCUGUCAUCUUUUGUGUGCAAAUAAAUAAGGUCAUGAGGUCAUCAUAGACACUUACCUUCAGAAUUAAGAGGAAGUGGUGAAGUGGUCCUCAGUAUCGAACUAAUCACCACUGCCUAAUCACACACCCGUGCGCGUACACAAGCACCAUUAUGAGAUUGGGUAUUAUAUGAGCCGUUAUGUAUUGUACAACAGUAUUUUUGCACCGUCUGCCACUUAUCACAAUUGAACCGAACCACUGGGUACACACUGGUUGAAUCAAUGUCAUUGUAAAUAAUAAUUUUUUCUUAACUGACUUGCCUAUUUAAAGCUUAAAUGUAUCUGUGACAUAACAGCCAAUGACUCACUCUCCUGCUACACUGAUGUCUGACCACGGCUGCAUCACAAAUGGCACCCAAUUUCCUUCAUAGUGCACAACUUUUUACCAGGAGGGCCCAUAGGGUAGUGCACUAUAUACUGUUGGGAAUAGGGUGCCAUUUGGGACCGAGACCAUAUUAAUUGUGUUCUCCCAUCGAAUAUGUCUCUGAACCGCAGACAGCAGGACAUUUCCCAUGGCCUGAAAUUACCUCUACCCACAGAACACUAUUACCACAAAGGGUCUGCUAGCUUAAUCAGAAGAACAUCUUUCACUCUGAACAUCUUUCAACUGGUAAUUUUUAUAAGUAAACUGUCCUCAAUGAACCAAUACAUCUAGUACUCUAUGUUCUUUCACAAAAAUGUCUGAAAAGCUUUUAAAAUUGGAUUAAAGUGCUGUGUGCACAAAAUAGGUGCAAUUUGAUGUCCUCACUUCCCAUUUGCGUUGAAUUUGCUAAACGUAUGUUAUUUCCAAACAGAUGACUAUUUGUCCACCCUUCAUUGUCAAAGUAAAAGGAGGUAUAAUCACUUGGAAAAAAUGCAAUUCUUUGAAGAGCAGAUGCAUAGUUACAUAACGUGCCAAUUAUGUUUUGUGCAGUAGUUCACGUUCAACUGCCCAUCAAUUCGCUCCAUUUUACUGCAAAAACACCCCAGAAGCAUCAGCAUAUUUUCCUUACAUUGAGGAACUGAAUCAAAGGUCUUUUCAAUGCUUCUAUACCAUGUGUGUUUUCAUUCUUCUUACACACAUGCACUGGUUUGUAAGACCGUUUCCACACCAGGAGAAUACUGCUUCACACAGUAUUGAAUAGAUAUUGUACGGUAUAAUAUUGUGAUAUUGUUUUAGAUAUUGAAUCGUUUUCUCAGCAUUUAGUCUUCCACAGCUAAAUAGCUGUUUCCUGAAGGGUGGGGCUGUGUUAAAGCUGGGUUCACCCUUCACACCAUUGUCCUCUCAUUCUCUGGCCUGAAGGGGAAAACUCAGGCCUGAAGUUCCUGCCUCUAUCCAUUCCCAGUAUUCAAACACUGGCUUGUCAAAACACAGACUAACAAAGCUAGUAGCAGCCAUUAAACAACGGGCAUUUCAACGGCUACCACGGUGAGCGGGCCAAAUGACUGGAAACAUGGCUGGAAAACACCCCCAUGUUGUUGUGACAACAUGCAAACUAUUAUGACAGUAUGCACACUGUAAUGUAUGCACGGGUCAACACACCUGCACUGCAGUUGUUUUGAUGGUCCUCUGCAUAAACAAAUAGAUGAUGAAGAAGAGUCGCUGUUUUUGGCCUGUUAAGUUAGCUGACCUUGACGGACUGCAAACAGAUGCUGGGAACGAAUGAAUAAGCACCACUUUAGAACAGCUGUGGAGAGUCCUGAGGGACAAAGAGAGGGAGAAAGAGGGAGAGAAUGAGAGAGAGAGAGAAAGAGGGAGAGAAUGAGAGCGAGAGAGAGAGAAAGAGGGAGAGAAUGAGAACGAGAGGGAGAAAGACGGAGAGAAUGAGAACGAGAGGGAGAGAUAGAAAGAGGGACAAAGAGAGAGAGAGAGAGAGAGAGAGGGAGAGGGAGUUACAGAUAAAGAAUUAAAGCUUGUCCUUUAAAAGGAAAGCUGUAGGCUGUCACUUUCUAAGGACAGAGAAUGUUUCAUCCAUAUUAACCUACAAAUAAAAAUUUCCAGUACAAUUCUGAACUUUUUCUUACCAAAGUAGUUAACCCGCAUUUAAUUUCCAUGACAUAUUACAUAGUCACAGAAGUCGCAUAGAAACCUCUGGGGACAGCACACUGUGACUAGAACCAAUGUGUGAAAGCGUGAAACCUCAAACAGAGUUGGCUCAUUUGAAAUCUAAUCUGGCCCUAAAGCCAUGGGCUGCUGCUGUGAGGUGAGAGUAAUUAAAAAGCAGAUCGAGAUGGAAGAAACGUAAUAUUAAUGCUACAUCUUCUAUGCAGCAGAAGCAACAGCGGGAGCCUGGCCAACACCAUUGGUAACACUACUUGGCUUGUGUUGAGGUGUAAAAUAGAAUGGUGAUUUCACGGAUCUAUCUAAUGCCAGCAUAAUGCUCACGAUCUGUGAAAAAGAGAGUUGAAUAACAUGAAAGGGGUUCACAAUUGGUGAGUAAUUGUAUCAUUUUCAGAAUAUUCUUUUAAUAUAAACAUGGCAUAGUUGUUAUACACUGAGUGGACAACACGUUAAGAACACCUGCUCUUUUCACGAUAUAGACUGACCAGCUGAAUUGUUAUACACUGAGUAUACAAAAUAUUAAGGAAAUCUGCUCUUUCCAUGAAAUAGACUGACCAGACGAAUUGUUAUACACUGAGUGGACAAAACAUUAGGAACACCUGCUCUUUCAAUGACACAGACUGACCAGGGGAAUCCAGGUGAAAGCUGUGAUCCUUUAUUUAUGUCACUUGUUAAAUCCACUUCAAUCAGUGUAGAUGACGUAGAGGAGACUUAAAGAAGGUUAAGGAAGGAUUUUUAAGCCUUGAGACAAUUGAGACAUGGAUUGUGUAUGUGUACCAUUCAGAGGGCGAAUGGGCAAGACAAAAGAUUUAAGUGCCUUUGAAUGGGGUACGGUAGUAGGUGCCAGGCACACCAGUUUGUGUUAAGAACUGCAACGCUGCUGGGUUUUUGUGUAUCAAGAAUGGUCCAACACCCAAAGGACAUCCAGCCAACUUGACACAACUGUGGGAAGCAUUGGAGUCAACAUGGGCCAGCAUCCCUGUGGAACGCUUUCAAAACCUUGUAGAGUCCAUGCCCCGACGAAUUGAGGCUGUUCUGGGGGGGGGCAACUCAAUAUUAGGAAGGUGUCCAGAUGUUUGAUAUACCCAGUGUACUCUGCACCCUGGGAUCUGAGUAAACUGGUUUACAUAACUUUUGUACAGUGUAAUAAAACUGGAAAUGGGAGAAAUGGAGGAUGACACACAAUAACGAGUUCACAUUUAACUGUCCAUCAAUUCGUUCCAUUUUACUGCAGAACAUCUCCCAAGUCAGAUGGCAAUAAACACAAUAUAAAACACUGCAUUGUUUAAUAGUCCAACUGACAACCGUACAUCCCCCUUGGUUUAACCCAGACCACAAACCGGGACUCAAAUGGCCUACAACAUCCCCCAGCCCUUAAUGAUGUCACUUCUGUAGAGCUGUUUUUUAAUAAAAGUAAUGGCUUUCCACAGCCACCUCUAUUCAGACUACGAUAACACCAAAGGGCAGAACUAAAGUGGCUGUGCUUUUCCAUCCAUUCCAUCCAAGCUACACCUCUUUUCCAAUUCCCAGAGGCCUACAGUUUGUUUAUCAAUCCAGAGGAUUCUUGGCAACCAGGAGUUGGUGGAAAGGAUCCUCUUGAGGUCUGAUAUUCCAGGACGGAGAAGCUGGAAUGCCCCCGGCUCCUUCCUGGGCAAUCAGGGCUGGCAAAGGAGCCUCAGGUUACCACUCUGGGUUUGGGCAGGCACAUAGUCAUUCACUGACUGUACUCUCCUCUGGAACGUGCUGGGAUGCAGAACACGUACAUCAUAUAGGCCAAUUAAAAAAAAGCAAUUUUUCAUGUUACUUUUCUGUAUUGCUUGUCACAAGUGGAUUUUAUAUAAUAAAAUAGAAGAGAAUAUGAAAUGAAAUUCCAUCUAAGUCCUCACUUACCCUGCAGUAACAACUUUGAGGCACAAUGGGCUAAAUACCAGUCACAUUUCAGUGGAUCUGCAGUGGAUCACUCACCAAUGGUAUUUGCUGCAGGGAAGCGGGUUUCCUGGAUGAAGGUUAGAGUGGUUAUUAACAGGAGGAAGAAUGCACCACAAACCACAACUUUUGAAGAGCCAAAAAUAUUGCACUAGCAGCUGUAUAUCCAAUUACAACUGUAGCUUAAACUGUAUUCUUAAAGUACAGAUUUUAGACUCUCAAGGAACAAGCUAAAUCACUACGGUAAAAUGAAUAUACUUCACUGAUCCCAAAAGGCAAAAAGGUUAUGAUUUGGCUACAGACAGACAAUAUAAUUUCACAAGAGCAACCUUAUCACUACACAAACUGUACGACCUUGUUCAUGAUAUUCUUUUCACCCUACAGCUGCAAAUGUUUCACCUCCACAGUGCAUACUGACAUCAAUCACCACUACUUAUUAUAGAGAGCCUCCCCUAGGUUGGUGGUCCAUGCUUGAGCACAUGCUUCCCCUCGCGCUGCUCUCAGCUAGCCUUGAGCACUCAGGGUUAGUCAUCUGUAGAUAAUGUUAGGUUGUGUGUUUCAAAUCAAAUCAAAUCAAAGUUUAUUUGUCACGUGCGCCGAGUACAACAGGUGUAGACCUUACAGUGAAAUGCUUACGUACAGGCUCUAACCAAUAGUGCAAAAAAGGUAUUAGGUGAACAAUAGGUAAGUAAAGAAAUAAAAGCAACAGUAAAAAGACAGUGAAAAACAGUAGCGAGGCUAUAAAAGUAGCGAGGCUACAUACAGACACCGGUUAGUCAGGCUGAUUGAGGUAGUAUGUACAUGUAGAUAUGGUUAAAGUGACUAUGCAUAUAUGAUGAACAGAGAGUAGCAGUAGCGUUUGAACAGCAACCACUGUUGAGUCACUGCACGUAUUACAGUGCAUAUUUUAGGACACCCUCGACCUCAAGCCUCGCCCCUCCUUGAGUCAAUCAUCAACCAACAUUUUCAACAGAUUUCGCACACCUAGGUCAAGACAAUGAUGGGUUUGAGACUCUUUGAGGGAGAAGAGAGGGAACGUAGUGGCGUUCUCUGUCAAUUUACCCAGUCAAGGUUUCAUAGAGUGUGAUUUCUCUGAGGAAAGAAGAGUCAGUUCCAGUUCUGGUUGGGUCUGUGUGCUUCCAGAGGUAUUAAGGCCAGAGCAGGCCUCAGGGGCGGACUGGGAUCAGAAAUCAGCUCUGGCAUUUCAACAAACAAAAAAAUUGGUGAUGCCCCUACACCGGCCAAUUCUUUUCCCCCGAGGCCUUCACACCAGCCCAUUUAGCUAGACAGGCCCACUAGGCUAAAAAUGGACCAGCCCAUCUGGCAUUUGCCCAAAAUGCCAGAUGGCCAGUCCACCCCUUGCAGGCCUCCUCACCUCUGUUCCCUCUGUCUCUCUCUUCCUCUGAGGGGAGAAUAAAUGGCUCUUUAAUGGCCAGCAGGGUGUUCUGCCUGGCCAGCAAUGGUCAUAAAUCCAGGGGGAGUGUGAUCUACAUUGCGCAACACUUCCUCUCUGACAACAGUUCCUGACCCUAUUAGGCAUAUGGAGGGAGGAGGGAGGAGGCAGGGGGAGAGAGGAGGAGG
rnacentral:lncRNA from 1 species